rnacentral:rRNA from 1 species
UACGUAGGGUGCGAGCGUUAAUCGGAAUUACUGGGCGUAAAGCGUGCGCAGGCGGUUUUGUAAGCCAGAUGUGAAAUCCCCGGGCUCAACCUGGGAAUGGCAUUUGGGACUGCAAGGCUUGAGUGCGGCAGAGGAGACUGGAAUUCCUGGUGUAGCAGUGAAAUGCGUAGAUAUCAGGAGGAAUACCGAUGGCGAAGGCGGCGUCCUGGACCAACACUGACACCGAUGAGCGAAAGCCAGGGGAGCAAACGGG